rnacentral:rRNA from 1 species
UACGAAGGGGGCUAGCGUUGUUCGGAAUUACUGGGCGGAAAGCGCACGUAGGCGGAUUGUUAAGUCAGAGGUGAAAUCCCGGAGCUCAACUUCGGAACUGCCUUUGAUACUGGCAAUCUCGAGUCCGGAAGAGGUUAGUGGAAUUCCCAGUGUAGAGGUGAAAUUCGUAGAUAUUGGGAAGAACACCAGUGGCGAAGGCGGCUAACUGGUCCGGUACUGACGCUGAGGUGCGAAAGCGUGGGGAGCAAACAGG